rnacentral:rRNA from 1 species
UACGGAGGGUGCAAGCGUUAUCCGGAUUUACUGGGUUUAAAGGGUGCGCAGGCGGAUAUGUAAGUCAGUGGUGAAAUCUCUAGGCUUAACCUGGAAAUUGCCGUUGAUACUAUAUAUCUUGAAUGCUGUGGAGGUAAGCGGAAUAUGUCAUGUAGCGGUGAAAUGCUUAGAUAUGACAUAGAACACCUAUUGCGAAGGCAGCUUACUACGCAGAUAUUGACGCUCAUGCACGAAAGCGUGGGGAUCAAACAGGAUUAGAUACCCUGGUAGUCCACGCCCUAAACGAUGAUUACUCGACAUACGCGAUACACUGUGUGUGUCUGAGCGAAAGCAUUAAGUAAUCCACCUGGGAAGUACGACCGCAAGGUUGAA